rnacentral:lncRNA from 1 species
CUUGGUGACCUCCCUUAGCAACUCUAACUGGUCCGUUUAUGAGCUUUGGAAAAUUCCACCCAGCACUUGCCUGAUUUUUCUUUUUUUUUUUUAACUUUCUCUGUCUCUUCUUGCUCCAAGAAGAACAGGACAGGACGUCACUACCAAGAUUUAACCCCUUUUAGAUAUGUACCUGGCUCUCGUCAGCUCUGGGGAUCUAAGAGGGGUGCAGGCAUCUCUUGGUUGUCCAUGGUUACUCUAAUUUCAUAGCAGACUGCUGUUACCUACUGCCUUCUGCUUAGUACUGGAAGAGGGAGGGGAGGUGGCCCGAGACACGGAAGGGACAGCACCUCCUACAGGGUGUGUCACUUUGAGCCAGGCUCUGUACUCUGCUCCUGACCACCUCACAGCUCAUUCCCAUUUCACUGAGGAAUAAACUGCUUUAGGAUAAAGGAAUUGCCAAGUUCCCUGAGUACAUGCAGUAAGGAGAAGCAGGCUGGGACCACCUUGCCAUGCAGGCCUCUGUCGUGCCCAUGAUGGGAUGAGCCGCGACACACUGGGGAUGGAACCCAGGGCCUCACAUGUGCUAAGCAAGUGUUGUACCGCUGAGCCACUUCCCCAGGCCAGGCUGGCCUUGUUUAAAGAAAUCCAGACAAGAAGAGACUCACUGGAGUCAUUUCCAGCCUGUGGCUCAACCUGCACCUCAUGGGCUGGAUGCAGAUGAAGAGAAGGCUGGGAUCAGAAUAUUCUGGACACAGCCUAAGUCUGUUUUGUGAAGCAAACAGUAGAUAAAGGCAGUAAAAUUUGGGCCUAAACAGUACAAGCAGGGGUUAGUAUCCAUACUGUUCUCUAAAAAUGUAUUUUUCACUUACUGAUGACUGGAGAAAAACUGACAAUUAUUUUGUGCACUUUGUGAUUCUUUUUAUUUAAAUUAUUAUAAUAUUAAAUUAUCAUAUAUAUAGUUUUGGUUGUUUUGUUUUGAGACAGAUUCUUGCUACUUGCUACAUAGUUCAGGCUGGUUUUGAACUCACUACAUAGCCUACGCUGGCCUCCAACUCACAGCAAUCCUCCUGCCUCAGCCUUGCCAGUGUUGGGAUCACAGGUGUGUGUCACCAAGGCCACUGGGCCCUCUGGGAUUUGUAAAGUUCACUACUUGGGCUCCAGAGCAGUCCCUAAGGCAAUGAUGGGGAAACUUUUAGAGCUUUCAAAAAUAACAAACAGCCCACUGGGCAUGAGUGUCACAG